rnacentral:rRNA from 1 species
ACGCUCGACACCUACGGGACGCAGCAGUGAGGAAUAUUGGUCAAUGGGCGCAGGCCUGAACCAGCCAAGUAGCGUGAAGGAUGACUGCCCUAUGGGUUGUAAACUUCUUUUAUAUGGGAAUAAAGUUUUCCACGUGUGGAAUUUUGUAUGUACCAUAUGAAUAAGGAUCGGCUAACUCCGUGCCAGCAGCCGCGGUAAUCUGAGCGGGCUGGCAAGGC